rnacentral:lncRNA from 1 species
AUGAGGAGUGCCCUGCACGCUGGCUUGCCCCCAUCUUGCCAUUUCCCUCCCGGGCCCUGCUUGUCUCAGCGCCCUGUGUCCUGUGGCACAUCCUCCCUGCUCCCUGCAGCUCCUCCUCAGCGCUCACAGCCAGGACCUCCCCUUCCCGUUGGCGUUUCAAAAUCCUCCUCUGUGAAUCACUCCCCCCCAGCCCUGCCCCCCAAAACUGGCCAGGAAUUAAGUGAAGGAAACCCAAAGAUGAGCUGCACCCAGCUCAGACCCCGAGCCCACCUAGGCCACAAGGAGCAGGGGCCCUGCUCCGGCACAGACGGUGCUGCUCAUGCAGCUCUGAGGCCGGUUUUCUGCAGCCAGCUGUGCCCACGUUGCUGCCGUGUGCUCGCAGCGAGCUCUUGCUCUGGAGAAUCCCAGCUUCCCGAAGCCCAGGUCCCCCCGUGGCUUCACACCCCCCCAGAACACGGACCAAAGGCAGGAGCAGCGGGGAGGGCUCCCCGAUCCUGGCACCAGGCCGCGGGGCUGGAAGCCCGGUGCUGCGGGCCAGCCUCUUCCUGGAGGAGGUCAGCGACCCGGCUCCACCGAAAUGUUGUGCAAGGAGCUGAACCAGCGGCCCCCUUCCCCGAGCCACCCUGGCAAUCGCACAGGUUUCCAGGAAAUCCAAACAAAUGCCUCAGCCACCUGGGAGCGGGCUCUGCCUUCCCUCUGCCAGCUUAUGGCUGCAAACGCACAGAAUCCCCCGGAGGUGGCACGGGGACGGUGCCCACCAGGACCCGGGGACCUUGCUCCAAGGCCAUGCCAGAAGCCACCUCCGCGGGACCCGUCCCAGGGAGCUGCUCAGCCCCUUCGGGGACAGCAUCUGGGGCUCAGGGUGCUCCACGAGGAGGAGGGGUAAGAAGAGACCUCUCACCGCACCGUGCUUCACUUUUCUUCAUUUUAUUCUUUUAUUUGUACAGCUAUAUUUUACAGAACGCAUUAAUGCAGUUUAGACACAGCCCAAACCCUGUCUCCCGAGAUUGUUUAUAA